rnacentral:lncRNA from 1 species
AUGUUUCCUGGAAACCAACAUGUCCCACAGACAUGUCUCAUGGAGCUGACCACAUUUCCUCCCCUUGAAUCUCCUUCAGUUCCUUAUAAAGUAAUCCUUCUACACUUAAGCACAGUCAGCUGGAAUCCCUGCAGCGAGGGGGAGAAGGCUGUAGCCUGUGACCUGAACAGUCGAUUACAACAGACUCAACAGAACUGUAUAGCAUAUCCUACGGUUGUGUCUACCGACGAAGGAAGUCAUUUCAUUACAUUCCUGUCUCAGGAAAGUCGGCCACUCGGUAGCAUCCCUGCCUGCCAUGCUGGCCGCUCAGUACUAGCAAGAUGCUCCUGUUGGAAAUAUGACUGAGAACCUCUACCUGACAGUUAUUUCUUCUUUCUUAGUUUCCUGAUUUUAUUUGGUCAACAACAUGCACAGGGAAGGAGUUCCUGUUUCCUGGCUUCAGGGCAAAGUCAUGAUUGGUCUUAAUUCUAACACAUUCCCCAAUGGUGACUGGUUUUGAACUGAGCAUGUGAUGAGUUCUGGCCAAUGAGAUGGAAGAGUCUGGCAGCAGGUAUUUGGGAAAGAUUUUGAAGUCCAGUUAAGAUUAAAUCCAAGAGAGGAAAAGGUUUCCUAUUAACAAGUCCAAGGGUGAAAAACCAACAUGCUGAGAACGGGGUUUAGGACGGUAGGAAAAGGCUACUGACGUCCUUGAGUCACUACAGUUAAAAGAAAUCUUUUUUUUCUAUAGUUUUGUUUUUCUUUGACAGUACUGGGGUUUGAACUUGAAGUCUCUUGCUUUCUAGGCUGGUGCUGUACCACUGGAACCAUGACUCCAACCUGCUAGUAUUUUUUUUUUUUUUUUGGUGGGACUAUGGUUUCAACUCAGGGCUUCGAACUUGCAAAGCAGAAACUCUACCGCUUGAGCCACACCUCCAGUCCAUCUUUUGCUGUGGUUAUUUUGGAGAUAGGAUCUCAUGAACUAUUUGACCAGGCUGGCCUCAAACCGCAAUCCUCCUGAUCUCAGCCUCCCAAGUAGUUAGGAUUAGAGGCAUAAGCCACCAGAGCCCAGCCUACUGUAGAAUUUUUAUAUCAGAUUUUCAAAUGUGUUCUUGCUUAAGGCAGCGUGAGUUAUGCAUUCAUUGCUUGUAACUCCAUGUGUUCCCAAUUGAAACAGAACCUUGUAGAAUUGUUUGAGGGUCAAGAGAGACACUGAGCCCAGAACAGUAGUAAACUCUGGGAAUCCUAGCACCUCGGAGGCAGAGGCAGGAGGAUUGUAGUUCCAGACCAGCCUGGGUUAUAUAGUGAGAUUCUGGAUCCAAAUAAACAAAAUUGCAACAAAACA